UACCCGCGCCACGAAUGGUGACCGCGAUUAUUGGGUCUAAAGCGUCCGUAGCCGGUUUAACAAGUUCUUGGUUAAAUCCAGCAGCUAACUGUUGGGCUCGCUGAGAAUACUGUUAAACUUGAGAUUGGGAGAGGGUAGGGGUAUUCCACGUGUAGGGGUUAAAUCCUUUAAUCCGUGGAAGACCACCGGUGGCGAAGGCGCCUACCUAGAACAAGUCUGACGGUGAGGGACGAAAGCUAGGGGAGCAAAUCUA
rnacentral:rRNA from 1 species